UCAGACGGUAAAAUAUGAGCUCCCCACAUGGCUGACUCCUGUCUUCUGAGACUUCAUUUCACCCCCCCCAGCCCCCACCCCUGCAAGAUUCUCGUACUUUGAGAGCAAAGUGGGGAGGAGGAAGAGCGGUGGGAGCGAGUUAGGGUUUUUCUAUGAGACAAGUUAAAAUAUGAUGUUGGACUCACUUUUAUGUCCGUGUAUUAAUGCCGUGAUUAACCGGGACAGGCUCCUCUAUUUCAUUUCUCCGUCUAGAAUUCGAGAAUUGUUGGGAGUCCUUGAAAAGCCUUCGGAGGGUGGGUUAUGAUACUUUUAGUUUUUAGGGAAUGAGACAGGGAGAUUGAAUUAUUUAUAAACUUUUCUUACUCGUAGAGAUUAGGCGAGGGGAGGGGGAGGGGGCCCCCUUUUAUUUGGGAUAUCAGAAGAUUGCCCCAACCUGAAUCUGGAGAGGAGGGCCUCGCUUUCUGAGAGCAGAGUCACGACCUUUCUCCAGGGCUUCAUUUUUAGAUCUCCUUAAUGUUUGGGGAGCCCUGUAUGGGUCCAACUCAAAGGCUAUGUUCUAUUGCAUUCUUUAAACGUAAUAGAAUUUGCAUGUGUGGCUCUAAAAUGUCCUAUGCGGUACGGUGUGUACAUAGGGACGUUCCAAGUAGCCCCAAACACGAAAUUAAAUCUCAGGUUAAAAAAUGCAUUGCAGUCACGCCCCACGGGCGGACUCCCAUCUGAUCAAUACAGACAAGAGUUAAAUUUGUUUUGCAGCUACAUAGUUACUCCUUUUCUCUCUGAGCAAUAAAGUCUGCCUGUUACAAAUUACCAGGGAAUUGGAGCAUAUGCUUCCCUCACCCCCGCAACUGUUGUUCAGUAUUCUUAGUCUUGCACUAACCCAUUCAAUAAUAUAUGUAAUAUGUGUGUACACAGGCACUUUUCCAAAAAGUUAGCGAUAACAUUCCGGGGGUACGAAGAAUGGCGUGUUUCUCCCUCUGCAAUGUAAGGAUCGGUGCGCCCUGCGUUGCCACUCUGGAGCCCCCGUCUCGGGGGACGGGGACCCACGGGGACCGCGCGGGGAGGAGGUUUCGCAGCCUCGGUUGCACGCAAGGGCACGGAGUCAAAGCGCCUGACUCCAGCCAGGAUAAGGUCAUAGGUGUAGAAUUAGGGAGACAGGACUUAACACGUCUGUCCCGCGGCGAAGGGAGAGCAGGCGUCACCCAGCCCGGGAUGAAACCCCCGAGCCGCCACCGGCAAGUUUCCAGGCAAUGGUACGCUCAGUGGAAGUCAGCGGGCCCGAAUUGUACCUGUAACUGGGAGUGUCAGGAUUAGAGCGCACCCCAGUCAAACGGAGCCCUCAUUUGGAAGCGUCCCUGAAGGUGCUGAAGACCUCUUGCGCAGAAAUGCACCCAGCCCUUGGCGAGCGCCUACUGUUUACCAAGCACUGCACUAGACUUUAUGAGCUGGUCAAAAAUGACUUAAAGAGCUAGAAAGGGGAAAAGAGCAACCAUAGCCGAAGAGGUGUAUUGCUACAUGGUCCCGCCAAGAGUGUCUAAUAUUAGGUCUUUAUUUUCUAAGUUUCUGGAUGGAAAGAGAAGACUGACUCAUCCUAUCUACAACUCCAAUCACAGCGCUUGGCAAUUGUAGGUGCUCAGUAAGUAAUCUUUCCAUACAGGAAUAAAAGUCAAUGAAGAAAGGGAGAGACGGACUGAAGGGGCUCCUCUGUGCUUUUGGAAACCAAUGACUACUCACUCCCAAAGUGCACUUUUUAAAAACCAGCAUCAAACGGAUUAGUAGCCCCCCCCCCCCCAGAUUCUGAUAUGUAAGGUGAAACAGUGAAAACACGAUAGAAGAAAGUUUGGUCCCAUGGAUAGAAGCAUCCACUAGGUCAUUCCACAAAUAUUGAUUGAAGGGCUUUCUCUGUCCAUGUAGUCGGCUAAGCGCUGGAGACACUGGGUCCUGGCUGGUUCGAUGCUGAUUGUCUUGAACUUUAUCCACUGCGGUGAGUAGAAUAUAUAUACGUUUCCAUUUUAGAGAGGAGGAAAGUCAAGGCCCAGGAAGGGUGGGGUGGCAGAGGGCUUACAUUCAGCAUCUCAGGCAGGAAGGCCAAACUCAGCCCUGCCCCACCUUCUAUGCGCGCUGGGGGAGGUUGGGCCAGGUGGUUUUUUCCGAUCCUGGGAAAAGGCAGGAACGUCUGGGAGCCCUGCAAAUCCCAAAGGGGCCUCGAGGUUGUGGCCAGCGCCUGGCAGUUUUCAGGAGUCAGGGUCUACACCCUGUGGGGGUUUCCCAAAGGACUUCCCCAGAUCUGCUCCCUGAAGCUCCGAGCUGAAGGAUGUAACGUCUAGAGUCUCCCAUCCGAUUCUUCCAGACCACUCCGCCGACACCUUGCCUAGGACUGGGCAGUGCUGUCCUUCUUCACAGACAGGCAGUGUGGGACAAGAGCCUCUCCCAAGGUCACAGUGCUCAAAGUGACCGCGAAGAAGCCUUUACAACCCCUUCCUCCCUACCCCACCCCCACCAGGAUUUUCUGUUUCUCUGCAGACCUCUUCCCUCAUUGGUGUAGCCCAGUGACCAGCGCAGUCUGGCACGUGCAGCCUCUUCAUCUCGUGUUUGUUGAUUGACUAAAUGAAUCCUUGUUUGUUUGUUUUGGGUUUUAAAUAUAGAACAGAACUAAAAAAUGAAACCAGGAUCGAAUAAAGGGGAGUGAGUCCUAGACUUCGUUUGGUUGGUCGAUGAUGGAGACAAGCUGACCCACUGUUGAGGUCAAUACAAUCGAUGAGGUCCCCCCUUCCCCGCAACCGCUGGGAAAUCACCUUCGCUGCCGCGCCUCUGGCUUCCAACCGGAGCUUUCAGGAUUUGGAGUUUCUCGGUCUUUCGCACCGUGUCCGCUUUGGUCGCUCUCUCCCUCAACUGCACACGGAAUCCGCACUCAGGUUGAGGUUCAGGACGUCCAUCUGCCGCCGGGAUCCGAGCUCCGAGCCGCGGAAGCGAAUGCAAUUGGAUUCCAUGCCUUCCCUGCUGUGCCCACCGCCCAGCCCCUUCCCCAGCCGGAUGCUUUUGGUGAAAGCGUGGCUUUCCCACAGCAGCCCCGAACCGCGAAUUCUCUUUCUUCUCUUGCCGACUUGACCAACUUAGACUUCACUCGAGGCCCAGAGGUGCCUGCGCCGCGCUUGGCCGCCCUCCCUGCCUCCCUUGGGAGGCUCGGGACUGCGGUUUCGGCUCGCCACCUCCGUGCCUGGCGGGCAUGCAGCAGCCUGGCCAGCCUCCCGCGCACGCGCUCAGCGCCGGCUGCGGUAGGCCUCAGUUUCCCCGCUCCUUUCGGGCUGGAGACGUGACCGGCGACACGAUUGGAGGAAGAGGAACGGCGACUGGAUGGAUCGGGUUGGUGAGCGGCGGGGCUGCCUUGCUGGCUGUGCGGCCGGAGGGGGAGUCUUGGCGACCCGCGGCCGCCUUUCCCUCUCCGCCCCUCCGCGGACCAUGCACACGGGAUGAAACGCGUCCCGCAUUAGGAAUGGAGCCGCCGACCGCCACGACCCCAGUGUUCCCUAAGAGCCGCCCACAGCCUGAUGGGGCUCGGAGGGCAGUGUGGGUGUGCCCUGCUCUAGGUGAGGACGCACAGCCAGGUCCCAGCCAGCAGGUGCACGCUUGCCGAGCGUGAGCGCAGGGCACGUUCCUUCCAGGGCUGCCUGCCCCGCCGCGGGGGGGGGGGGGGGGGUUGCUGCUGGGGGCCUCGGGACAUUGGCGGACCCCCCCCCC